CCGAUUUUGGAACAGCAGCUGGUGCAGCUUCGUGCCGAUCUGGAGCGCCAAGGGCAAGAGUACAGGAUGCUUCUGGACAUCAAGACCAGACUGGAGAUGGAGAUCGCAGAGUACAGAAGACUUCUGGAUGGAGAGGCUACAAGUGUCUCAACCACAAGCAAAACCUCGACUACACGCAAAGUGGUAACUAUUGUGGAAGAGGUGGUGGACGGCAAAGUGGUCAGCUCAUCCUCCCAGUCUACAAGCCAGACCAUGUCUUAAAAUCACCCUUGAGCAAAAUCUAUCUACA